CAAAAACAUGGCUUUUUGUAAAAUAAAAUAAAAAGUCUAACCUGCCCGGUGGUAAUACUAAACGGACGCAAUUUUGUGUUAAAGUAGCGUAAUAAGUUGUCUUUUAAUUGUGGAAAAGUAUGAAUGGGUUGACGAUGGAAAAUCUUUAUUAAAGGCAUAAGUUAAAAUUUACUUUUAAGUGAAAAGGCUUAAAUUAGUUUGUUAGACGAGAAGACCCUAUUGAGCUUAGUACCUUAUUCCCAUAUUGGGCAUAAGUAUAUUUAUUCGGGGUAGAUUGGAAGAGAUAUAAUGUCUUCUUUAAUUUAAGUUAAGAAAUAGUUUGAACUAUAAACAAGAUAAAUAGUUACCAUAGGGAUAACAGCGCAAUUACUUUUGUUAAGUUCUUAUUUAAAAAAGAGUUUGCGACCUCGAUGUUGAAUCAAGAUUUCUACCAGGUGCAGAAUAUUGGUGAGUGGGACUGUUCGUCCUUUAAAAUCUUACGUGAUCUGAG
rnacentral:rRNA from 1 species